ACACUCUUAGCUUAAUAGGUUAAAGUUGUAAUCUUCGAAAUUAUAUAUAUGGGUUCAAUUCCCAUAGAGUGUU
rnacentral:tRNA from 1 species